CUUCAACAAUCACUUGAAGAUCUCGAGAUGUUUCUGAGCCGUCUGAUAGAGUGAGUUUUAAUCUGUAAUUCCCUGAAUCUGUUCUGAUCACACGGUUUAUUAUCAGAGUCCCAUUAGUGACUGUCACUUCAGGUCUGUUAUUAUAAAGAUCACACUGACUCGUCCUCAUCCUGCCAUUCUUUACUCUACAAAGUGGACCAUCUGCUGUGUUGUUGUUUAUUCUCUUUUUUAACUGUAGAUCAUAUUUACUAGCGUCCUGCACCAUCAUCAGAUUGAGUUUGUGUCCCAGAGCUGUGUAACAGGGAUCAGACUGAUCAAAACCGCAGUUUAACUCCAGACCUGAAG